GACGAACGCUGGCGGCGUGCUUAACACAUGCAAGUCGAACGGAAAGGCCCUGCUUUUGUGGGGUGCUCGAGUGGCGAACGGGUGAGUAACACGUGAGUAACCUGCCCUUGGCUUUGGGAUAACUUCAGGAAACUGGGGCUAAUACCGGAUAGGAGCUCCUGCUGCAGGGUGGGGGUUGGAAAGUUUCGGCGGUUGGGGAUGGACUCGCGGCUUAUCAGCUUGUUGGGGGGGUAGUGGCUUACCAAGGCUUUGACGGGUAGCCGGCCUGAGAGGGUGACCGGCCACAUUGGGACUGAGAUACGGCCCAGACUCCUACGGGAGGCAGCAGUGGGGAAUAUUGCACAAUGGGCGGAAGCCUGAUGCAGCAACGCCGCGUGCGGGAUGACGGCCUUCGGGUUGUAAACCGCUUUCGCCUGUGACGAAGCGUGAGUGACGGUAAUGGGUAAAGAAGCACCGGCUAACUACGUG
rnacentral:rRNA from 1 species